rnacentral:rRNA from 1 species
CGAUAACGAACGAGACCUUAACCUGCUAAAUAGCCCGUUCUGCUUUGGCAGUACGCCGGCUUCUUAGAGGGACUAUCGGCUCAAGCCGAUGGAAGUUUGAGGCAAUAACAGGUCUGUGAUGCCCUUAGAUGUUCUGGGCCGCACGCGCGCUACACUGACAGAGCCAGCGAGUACUCCCUUGGCCGGAAGGCCCGGGUAAUCUUGUUAAACUCUGCCGUGCUGGGGAUAGAGCAUUGCAAUUAUUGCUCUUCAACGAGGAAUCCCUAGUAAGCGCAAGUCAUCAGCUUGCGUUGAUUACGUCCCUGCCCUUUGUACACACCGCCCGUCGCUACUACCGAUUGAAUGGCU